CCUUUUUGAGAAACAGGGAAUUCCCGCCUGGUAUGGCCCCCAGAGACUUCAGGAACAUAGAAAGGACUGGGCUACAACGGAUUCACCAAUUAUAUCAUGAGGGAGAGGUAAUACAGUUUGCAGAUCUUCAAGCAGGAAACCACCUAACCCCUGCAGAUUUCUUUAGGUAUGUCCAAAUACGGGACUUCGCCAAGAAGCCACAUAUCAAGUCGGCUGCCUCCGGGAGGCCCACUUUUUAUGAGAGGAUUUGCUCGGAGGGGGCAACCCCCCAGGGGUUGAUUACUCUCAUAUACGCACACCUCUGCGGAGAAAAUAAAGAAUGGGGAAGGUUAACUUACAUUGAUC